UACGGAGGGCGCAAGCGUUGUUCGGAAUUACUGGGCGUAAAGCGCAUGUAGGCGGCCUGGAAAGUCGGGUGUGAAAUCCCGGAGCUCAACUCCGGAACUGCAUCCGAUACUGCCAGGCUCGAGUCUCGGAGAGGAUGGCGGAAUUUCCGGUGUAGAGGUGAAAUUCGUAGAUAUCGGAAGGAACACCAGUGGCGAAGGCGGCCGUCUGGACGAUGAUUGACGCCGAGAUGCGAAAGCGUGGGGAGCAAACAGG
rnacentral:rRNA from 1 species